UACGGAGGGUGCGAGUGUUAUUCGGAAUCACUGGGCGUAAAGCGAACGUAGGCGGAUAGGUAAGUCAGAUGUGAAAUCCCGGGGCUCAACCUCGGAACUGCAUUUGAUACUACUUGUCUUGAGUAUGGUAGAGGUAGGUAGAAUUCCCGGUGUAGAGGUGAAAUUCGUAGAUAUCGGGAGGAAUACCAGAGGCGAAGGCGACCUACUGGGCCAUUACUGACGCUGAGGUUCGAAAGCGUGGGUAGCAAACAGG
rnacentral:rRNA from 1 species